rnacentral:rRNA from 1 species
AGAGUUUGAUCAUGGCUCAGAAUCAACGCUGGCGGCGUGCCUGACACAUGCAAGUCGAACGCGGUUACCUCGCAAGGGGUAACUGAGUGGCGAACGGGUGAGUAACACGUGGGUGACCUACCUUCGAGCGGGGGAUAACGUCCCGAAAGGGACGCUAAUACCGCAUAACAUCCUGCCUUUGAACAGGUGGAGAUCAAAGCUGGGGAUCGCAAGACCCGGCACUUGAAGAGGGGCCCGCGUCUGAUUAGCUAGUUGGUGAGGUAACGGCUCACCAAGGCGACGAUCAGUAUCCGGCUUGAGAGGGCGGACGGACACACUGGGACUGAGACACGGCCCAGACUCCUACGGGAGGCAGCAGUGGGGAAUUGUUCACAAUGGGCGCAAGCCUGAUGACGCAACGCCGCGUGGAGGAUGAAGGUCUUCGGAUCGUAAACUCCUGUUGCUCGGGACGAAAAGCUCCGACCUAACACGUCGGAGUCUGACGGUACCGGGUGAGGAAGCCCCGGCUAACUCUGUGCCAGCAGCCGCGGUAAUACAGAGGGGGCAAGCGUUGUUCGGAAUUACUGGGCGUAAAGGGCGCGUAGGCGGCCUGUUAAGUCGAACGUGAAAUCCCCGGGCUCAACCCGGGAACUGCGUCCGAUACUGGCAGGCUUGAAUCCGGGAGAGGGAUGUGGAAUUCCAGGUGUAGCGGUGAAAUGCGUAGAUAUCUGGAGGAACACCGGUGGCGAAGGCGGCAUCCUGGACCGGUAUUGACGCUGAGGCGCGAAAGCCAGGGGAGCAAACGGGAUUAGAUACCCCGGUAGUCC